UUUUAAUAUCUGGUAUUAAUAGUGACACAAGUAUGCAACUCAAUAUAUAUUUCAAAAGAAACCUGCACUUUUAUUUUGGCAUUAAAACUGUGUAGUUAACAAUUACUUUAUUUUGUUCAACUUGAUUAGAAUAGGAUCUAAUGCACACUCUUCAAUCGAGUUGAUCUGAAAAAGAUAAUCUAAGAACUGCAAUAGAGGUUAGAAACUUAGAAUUUUAGAACCCAAAGGGGACUUAAUCGGUCUGCUUCCAUAAUUUUACAGAUAAAAAAUACCCAGUGAAAGUUACUUGACUUACCCAAGGUCAAAUUCAAAUAAGAGCCUCAGUUGUCUGAAUUCAGAGCCCAGCCAUCUUUCUGAAACACAACAUAGCAGUAAAAUAGAAACCUUCAUAAAAAAACUUUAUAAGUAGCAGGAAAGAGUUUAGUAUUGAAAUGUCAGUUUUUACCAAUGUGUACAAAAUUCAGAAUUGAAAUAAGCAGUACUACUGAGUUUUUUUUUUUUAAAUCAUCAUAAAAAACCUAAAAACAUAAUUUAAAUUAGAGCCGGAGCCUGUGAAAGUAUUGGCAAUGUAAAAAGUUGCUCAUCUUUCCUGGGCUGUCUGUUCUAAAUGGACUUUGAAAAAAAAAAAAAAAAGUAUCACAUUCUCUACUCAUAAUCUUCCAACUGAUGGAACAUUAGUUUGUUUUUAAAAUGGACUUCUCCUUCUCCUGUAACUUUUUUUUGUGGUGAUAGAAACAUUGAGGUUUUCUUUUUCAUUCAUCAUUUUUAUUACAUUUUUAACUUUGACCUGUGCUAAUAUACCUACUAACUCCUAGCACAUCCUAACUUUGUCAUGAAUUUGAGUUUACUUCUGGAAUGACAUCUGAUUUCUUUUAGUUUUAUCUACAUUGUCCAAGUGAACUGUUCACCAAAAACUAAAUAGCACCAUGUCAACAGGACAUUUUGGCGAAGAACAAAGUGUCACCUAUGAUUACAGGCCAGUUUAUACUGCUUCUGGUGGUGAUGGUGAUGUUAGGAGGUAGGUUUUCAUACUCAGUGUAAUUCUGUUGAUUACCCCCAGCUUUCCUCUGGAUUUUUCCAAAUCCACAUAAUACUUAACUGUAUACAUAGUUGUUUCAAUUUCAUUUUCCUUUCUCCCUGGAUUCUAAAGUCCUGAAGUAAAAGAGCACAGAUUAUGCAAACAACCUGACUGACAAAGAGGAAAGAACGCAACAGUACAGAAAUGCUCAUUCAUUCCUUCAGUGACUAUGUGAGUCUAGGCCAGGCAUUAUGCCAGGCACGAGAUUUAAGAAAAACAACAACCUGAUACCAUGGCAUCUCCUGCAGAUGAUAAAAUGGGAAGACUGAACACAGUACACUAAAAUAUUUGUAGUACACUUAGUUGACCAUGAGAUCCAAACAAAAAACCUCCAUGUAAAGGGAAAACAAUAACUAACAAAAAGCAUCUAUUUCUUAAUUCAUCCAUUUCACGAUGAAUGUCAAGUCGAUCCGUGACUAAAGAGAUUCGUCAUCCCAUCUGUCAUAGUUUGAAUGAGUCCUCCAAAAGUUCAUGUGUUGGAAACUUGGUUGCCAUUGUGGUGAUGUGAAGAGGUGAGGCCUUUUGGAGGUGAUUGGGUCAUAAGGGCUUCACCCUCAUGAAAAAAUUAAUGCCAAUACCUUGAGAGUGGGUUAGCUUUUGCGUGUUUGGCCCCUUUUUCCUCUGUCUUGCAUGCUUGCUUGCCAUGUGAUGCCUUCCACCAUGGGAUGACUUCACCAGAUGCCAGUGCCAUGCUCCUGGACUUCCCAGCCUCCAGAACUGUGAUCCAAAUAAAUCUUUCUUUAUAAAUUAUCCCGUCUUUGGUAUUCUGUCAUAAUGCCAGAAAUUGGACUGAGACACCACUCCUGCCCACUCCCAUGGGUGUUAAGUGGGGAGGGAAGUUGGUAUGUUGGAGAGGAAGACCACAAAACUUGCAGCUUUUUCUUUCUAAACACCAAAACACCAUUGAAUGCUUUGGGAGGAAAUGGAUUUCAUAUUCUCACCAUCCAUCCAGAAUGCUAUCAGAACAAUGGAAGCAAAUAAAUCUAUUACAACACUAAAUUGUCCUUGGAGGAAAGAAAACUUACUUUGCCUAGUCUAUUAGCCUAUAAUAAUUAAAGACCAACUUUUUUUUUAUUUAGUUCUAGAAAGUUGAAAAACCUGGCUUGAAUACUUAACAUUCUCAUUAGAACUAUUAAGCUUUUUCUCAAUGAAUUUAGUUAUUAAGCCUGUUUUUAUUGAUCACAGGGGCAACUACAAUGACAUUUUCUGAAUUUAAAGUCCUUUUAAAAUUAGUUACAUUUUAAACAAGCGGUUCUCAUUUAUGUAGGAGGCCAGAGUGGUAAGACAACGUCCUCCUAAUCGAAGGAAGCUGGGUGAGAGGGAUGUUGUGUGUGUGAGGAGUAGGGGAGGACAGGAUUGUGGCUUUUUCUGACUAAAAAUCGUCACUUUUACAUUCCUCUUCUUAUCCCUCUCUUGUGCCUACUUAUAAAUUCUGCAAAGGUUUGAUUUGUCACUAACUAUAAUUAUUGGCUGAAUAUAAAAUCUAAAUGCUUUCCAAAAGCUGCAACACACAAUUACUGUUUUCACUCAGUAGAUAACGCGUUGAUAUUUGAACUAUCUGGAAGUAGUAAGGGGCAUUUUGAGUUGUCAUAAUGACUGGAAGGUGCUAUUGACAUUUAGAAGCAAAGGGCUUUGCUGUAACCCUCUACCAGGAAGAACUGCAUCAAGCAAAAUGCCUAUACCUGUUAAGAAAUCCUGGGAGACGUUUUAAAGAAUCAUACAAGAUUUGAAGAAUGUUACCAUUAAAACAUAAAGCUGGAGAUCACUGAACUGGCUUCACAAAAACACAGAGAGUAAGGUUCAGUGGGGUUAGCUUCCCCUAGCUGGGAAGACUGGAGCCAGGACUACAUCAGGCCUUCUGACUCUGUCUGGGGCUCUUUCUGCUCCACCAAGUUUAUUUUCACAAAGCCCUUUACACAGGUCUGUGUGAGUUAUCAUGAUGCCAGGGACUCUGCCUGGAUGCCAAGGGCUGCAUGUUCUAUUCUAAGUUUUGGAACACACUUUGGGAAUAGGACUGACUAGGAUGAAUGAGUUUUAACAAAUGUCCAAAUUCCAUCAAGAAACUGCAAGCUGAGCCCAUCGGGUUUUCUUUACAUUACUGUUAACUUUACAGAUGAUCAUUUCAACUAACAGCAGCUGCCCCGUAUAACUCUACAAUUGCCCACGUUAACAUUAACCAGUGUUUAGACCCCUUGCAAUCUGGACUUGUGUUUUCUGCCCUAAUAUCCCUUAGUACAAUCUUCUUGAUAAUAAAUUGUUAAUAGUGUCCCUAAUUAACAUUUUGAUGUAUCAUAGCCACAUAGAAGAUACCAAAAUCGAUUCCUGAAACCUCAAUUCCCAAUGAGAGUGCAAGAAUCCAGCAUGUGUGCCUGGGCCUCAAAGCCACAAUGGGACAUUUGAGCUGGCUAUGGGGCAGUUCUGGGACCUGCUUCCUUGCAAUUUCUUGCAUAGGAAGGACAGCGUUAUUCCAGGCAUCAGCACGACCCUUCUUCCUGCCCUUCUCACAUCAAGUGAGAGGAGGAGCAACAUAGGAGACCAGCUAAUCUUUUUUUUUUUUUUUUUGAGACGGAGUCUCGCUGUCGCCCAGGCUGGAGUGCAGUGGCGCGAUCUCGACUCACUGCAGGCUCCGGCCCCCGGGGUUCACGCCAUUCUCCUGCCUCAGCCUCCCGCGUAGCUGGGACUACAGGCGACCGCCACCUCGCCCGGCUAAUUUUUUGUAUUUUUAGUAGAGACGGGGUUUCACUGUGCCAGCCAGGAUGGUCUCGAUCUCCUGACCUCGUGAUCCACCCGCCUCGGCCUCCCAAAGUGCUGGGAUUACAGGCGUGAGCCACCGCGUCCGGCCCCAGCUAAUGUUGAGGUUACUAACCUGGCUCAAAAAAAAAGAGGAAGGA
rnacentral:lncRNA from 10 species